ensembl:snRNA U6 U6 spliceosomal RNA
GUACUUGCUUCAGCAGCACAUAUACUAAAAUCAGGAGGGUCCAGGGGAGAUGCGCAUGGCCUCUGUGUAAGAAUGACAUGCAAAUUUGUGAAGCGUUCACAUUUUUU